rnacentral:lncRNA from 1 species
CUCUCUUCUCUUCACUACAAGAGCUCCUUCUCGGGAAACUGAAACUUGUGUGGUUUUCUGGAGUGUUUGUUGUUGAUAUUUGGUAACGCAAUUAGAAAAUGAUCCGCAAGCGCACGGAUAUCGGUGAGCAUUUCACCCGGGAGGUUAUCCAGAGUUAUCGUAUUUAUAUUUUUACCACUGGGAGAAAGGGUGCAUCUGACUAACCAAAUCUAUUGCUACUAUCCCUUUAGGCUACAAAGAAUGUCUCUCGAUGUGAGUGAUGUAUAGAGAAGACUGCAACCGUAGUCUCGUUCUAACCUUGGUAAGGAUGAUCUACUGUUCUAUUGGGGUGGCUCACGGAAUCUAGACAACACAAAGGAUGUUCGACCCGCACCUAUAAACCUACCCGUCCUGCUAACGAGAUGUGAUCUGCAAAGGUAACUCGGAAAUGUCACGUUCCUCGCUACUACCACGGUCCAGCUAGUCAGGGGAUAUCUAUAAGUACCCUAGCCUAAACACCACGUUUACGCUAACAAGUGAUUACUCUAAUACUCAACCGGAAGAGGAUUAAAGUAAACUCAUAAACCAAAGAACAAUAAAACAAGAACUUACUAGUAUUAGAAGUCGAAUUACUGAAGAAUCUUAGAAGCAAGCCUCGGGUUAGGAGACUUGAUCCCGCAGGUACAACUCGGAGUAGACACCGACAGGCCGGCCUUCCUCCGAUCCACACCUCCACUCUAUCUCUCUCAAUCUAGUAGAAACUAGAAGAUCUAUUUCUACCUUACAUUGGUUGCUAAGCCUAAAAAGAAAUAUUAUUUAGAGAAGAGGUUUUCCUUCGAGGGCACCCCUCAAUCUCUAUGAUAAUUUCUUGUCUCUUCCAGGGGCCAGGGGGCCUCCUUAUAUAGUCCUCCCCUUCUAUGCGUUUUUGGUUCAGCAGGCGAUGUGGUACUAAACUUUCCACCAUAUCUCAUUAAAAUGCACAUAGGCCUUAAUGGACCAAAAUCUGAUUUGGGCCCAAUUAAUCCCGCAGCUCUUUUAUAUGGAGUCCUUCUUUUAUUAAUAUCUCUUGAUUCCGAACUCCAAAUAUAGCAAAUAAUAUAUGCAUUUCGAUCAGCUCGAUGAGAUCUUUGCAAUCGUGUACUCCAUUCUGUGAUUGGUGGAAACACCUGGGCGGGCGCCCAAGGGGAGAGGGCGGGCGCCCUGCCCCCGGGUCCGUUCGGCCUCCCGUUCGUUCCCGUGGCUUCUGGAGUCUUCUACAUGAUAGAAAAUUGCGCGGCACGUUAAUAUCUCUAUGUAAUCCCGACGUGUGG